rnacentral:snRNA from 1 species
GGAUUUGAGGGUGAUCUAUCUGGGGCAUAUAUUACCCCUUCGACUGCCAGAGUGAUUUGGCUGAUCUGGCAGGGUAAGGGCAUGCCGAUUGCUUCCCCAUUGCUCCAGCUCAUAGGUCUUGAAGCUGCUUAACAGUGGAGGAUGGCCUUCUCUGAUAGAGGAGGGUUGGUCUUCUGUCCAUGGCAAACCAGUACAGGGUGUCCUACAUAAAACCUCAAAACAACAGACAGUUACCCUUUCAAGGGAAAGCUAAUCUUAUUUUUUGAUGAUCCAAGAAGAAAUAACCUAUUGAAAAUAAAAACUAAAGGAAUGUGUGUUCAUUUU